UCCUCGGUAGCUCAAUUGGCAGAGCGGGNNGCGGCUGUUAACCGCUAGGUUGUAGGUUCGAGUCCUUCCCGAGGAGCCA
rnacentral:tRNA from 1 species